CAGCAGCCGCGGGAAUACAGAGGGUGCGAGCGUUAAUCGGAUUUACUGGGCGUAAAGCGCGCGUAGGUGGUUCAUUAAGUUGGAUGUGAAAGCCCUGGGCUCAACCUGGGAACUGCAUCCAAAACUGGUGAGCUAGAGUACGGUAGAGGGUAGUGGAAUUUCCUGUGUAGCGGUGAAAUGCGUAGAUAUAGGAAGGAACACCAGUGGCGAAGGCGACUACCUGGACUGAUACUGACACUGAGGUGCGAAAGCGUGGGGAGCAAACAGGAUUAGAUACCCGCGUAGUCCCUGUCUCUUAUAU
rnacentral:rRNA from 1 species